UUCAUAUUGUUGGCGAAAAUCCUUUGAUGCAACAAUUCGGAUGGCAAACAAAUAUCGACUAACACCAAAAUGCUGGGGAAGUUAGAUAUACAUGUUGAUACUCACAAGGAAGCUAUUCAAACCAAUGGUUUUGAAGGGCAAAGCUGAAAUAUCCAAUCCGUAAAUGCACGGACGCUAUAUGUGGAGAAGAAUCUGCUUAACCUCCCGGAGAACCUGAGAACAUCCCCAGUUUUUGGGUGGGGUAUUUUUUGGACACGGUCGUUUGCUGAAGGAUAAGAAGUUACACAGAAUGAUAGAAAAGCGAAGUCCAUUUGGUCAAAGCAUUUUUCUCCAAUGAAACAUUUUAGUUUAACAGCUGGUUGGAUAAACACAAGUUGUCUUAAACUAGACUGAUAUGUACAAAUGUAUUCACUAUUAUAUGGUCCUACAAAAGUAUAUGCAUGAUGAGUAUGUUUUUUUAUUUGAAAUUUUAUCUGAAUAGGUAAAAAUAUCUCCUAAACAUUUCUUGAAAUG